UUUGACUGAAUAGAUAGACGCCCCAAUUAGGACACUGCGAGGAAUGAAUGGCGCACUUAUGCCACUGUGGCUUCUGAUUUUGGUGGGGAGAGUACCUGGAUUGUACCCAGACAGUGGAUUUAAUAUUGUUGAUUUUAGACAGGUUGUCACAGGAAGGAUAAGAUCAUCAAGGAUGUCAGCCACCUGAGCCACGGCCUGUUCACCCACCUAGAAGGCGGAGACAGUACAGGUGCAUCAAAGAUGGGACCAUAAGACUGAGAAACAACUUAUAUCUCCAGCCCAUCAGACUGUUAAACAAUCAUCAUCAGUACCCUGCCCUGGUCAAUUUAAUAAUGUUUACAUACUGUUU